rnacentral:pre_miRNA from 1 species
GUGAGUCUGUUUAGGCAAGUGAAUAUGUUGCUCUUGUAUUUGUUGCUCUGGACUAAGGUUGCCGCAAAUAGCCUUUGUAAAUGCCACAGUGGUCCUGAUGAGGGGUUAUGUUUCUCAGCUCAAGCCCAGCAUGACCUCUAGCUCCAGACCUUCUGGAAGCAAUGACCUUGAGCUGAGAGACAUAACCCCCCAGCAGGAUCAUUAUGCUGCCCCCAAACGCUAUUUGCGCUAAGUAUGUUGCACCCUACUCCAGGGCAGCCAAUACAAGAGCAACAUAUUUCACUUGCCUAAACAUGUU